UACGGAGGAUGCGAGCGUUAUUCGGAUUUAUUGGGUUUAAAGGGUGCGCAGGCGGGUGAUUAAGUCAGUGGUGAAAGCGUGUAGCUUAACUAUACCGAGCCAUUGAAACUGGUUAUCUUGAGUGUAAUUGCGGUAGGCGGAAUGUGAUUUGUAGCGGUGAAAUGCUUAGAUAUGUUUCAGAACUCCGAUUGCGAAGGCAGCUUACCAAGUUACAACUGACGCUCAGGCACGAGAGCGUGGGUAUCAAACA
rnacentral:rRNA from 1 species